rnacentral:lncRNA from 1 species
GGGUGGUCAGUAUGGGAAACCCUUAGCUCAAUGCUGGGCACAUGGUAACUGCCCAGUAACACAACCUGAUAGGCAGGAUUCUGGAGGAUGCCUUGGUUGUUGAGGCAGCACACAGGAGAAGGACUUGGAGACCAAGGUGUGAUAGCAGAGAUAAUUAGGAGUGAACCAGGAAAAGGCUGGAGGGAGAGUAUUCCAGACAAUGAGCCAAUGGCUGGGCAGGUGGCAGCUUGGUGCUAAGCUCCGGGAAGACUGCACUGGCUCAGGGGGAUAAAUGGGAGAGGAAAAGAACUUUGGGACAGAGAGGCCAAUUAGGAAGAGGAGGCCACUGGAAGAGAGGUGACCAUGCCUGAGGCAGUGACCAUGGAGACAGGGAAGAGUGAGAAUGUGGAUGUUAACAAUGAGAUCAAAUCUGUAAGACUUAGAGAUUCCGUGAGCCAUAAGAGGGAAUGUGUGGGCUGAAGGCAGCAGUAGGGCGAUGGAAAGCCUGGCCAAGGGCUUCUAGAACUUGAAGCUCACCAUUUUUGGAUGACAUUCUGUGAACGAAGUGUUCUCUAUGAGAUACUAAGAGCAAUAUAGGGUAAUCACUGGUGACAGAAACAUCUGCUCAUGCAGGUUCAUGUCAAAGUCCAGGGUUGAAGGAGAACCCCUCAUCCCAGAUGCUUUUCCUUGGAAUCCAGCUGCCAUGUUGUGAGAAAGCCCAGGCCACCGCAGAGACCACAUGUGGGUGUUCCAGCCAACAGCCCCAGCUAGGUCCCCAUGGAGAGCCCACACCAACCACCAGAUAUGAGGGUUCAGACUCCAGCCCGCAGUCUUCAAGUCUUCCAGCUGCAGUCCCAGACAUCAUGAAACCAUUCUACUGUGACCUGUCAGAAUUUCUGACCCCAGAAACUGUUG